rnacentral:rRNA from 1 species
UACGGAGGAUGCGAGCGUUAUCCGGAUUCAUUGGGUUUAAAGGGUGCGUAGGCGGUUUCUUAAGUCAGUGGUGAAAUCCUGCGACUCAACCGUAGAACUGCCAUUGAUACUGAUAAACUUGAAUAUAGUUGAGGUAGGCGGAAUGAGUAGUGUAGCGGUGAAAUGCUUAGAUAUUACUCAGAACACCGAUUGCGAAGGCAGCUUGCUAAGCUAUUAUUGACGCUGAUGCACGAAAGCGUGGGGAUCAAACAGG